GAUGAACGCUGGCGGCGUGCCUAAUACAUGCAAGUCGAGCGAACGGACGAGAAGCUUGCUUCUCUGAUGUUAGCGGCGGACGGGUGAGUAACACGUGGAUAACCUACCUAUAAGACUGGGAUAACUUCGGGAAACCGGAGCUAAUACCGUAUAAUAUUUUGAACCGCAUGGUUCAAAAGUGAAAUACGGUCUUGCUGUCACUUAUAGAUGGAUCCGCGCUGCAUUAGCUAGUUGGUAAGGUAACGGCUUACCAAGGCAACGAUGCCUAGCCGACCUGAGAGGGUGAUCGGCCACACUGGAAGUGAGACAGGGUCAAGACUACUACGGGAGGCAGCAGUAGGGAAUCUUACGCAAUGGUGGAAAGCCUGACGGAGCAACGCGGAGUGAGUGAUAAAGGUCUUCGGAUCGUAAAACUCGGUUAUUAGGGAAGAACAUAUGUGUAAGUAACUGUGCACAUAUUGACGGUAACUAAUAAGAAAGCAACGGCUAACUACGUG
rnacentral:rRNA from 1 species